AGGAAAUAGAUACCCAGGUAGUCCACGCCCUAAACGAUGAUGACUGGCUUUCCGGAGUAUCGACCCUCUGGGAGGCGAAAGCUAAACGCGUUAAGUCAUCCGCCUGGGUAGUACGGCCGCAAGGCUAAAACUCAAAGGAAUAGACGGGAGCUCGCACAAGUGGUGGAGCGUGUGGCUCAAUUCGUCGCUAAACGAAGAACCUUACCAGGGCUAGAAAUCCUACUGCACGCCUAGGGAAACCUAGGAAGCCUUAGAGGGUGUAGGACAGGUGAUGCACGGCUGUCGUCAGUUCGUGGUUUGAAUCGUUCCCUUCAGUGGGGUAACGAACGCAACCCUCGUUGCCA
rnacentral:rRNA from 1 species